rnacentral:rRNA from 1 species
GCCAGCGGCCAUUACACGUUGUACGAAUCAGUUCCCAGUGGAUCACUGAAGUUAAGCAACGUUGUGCGCAGUUAGUUUCGGAUGGGUGACUAUCGUACAUGUUUGUACUUAAGGAG